GAUUUCAACUGAAAAAGUUAUCAACAACAAAGUUAAAUAACUCAUCAAGAUCUAAAUCUUUUAUUUUGGUCAUUUCUUCAUCUGAUAAAGUGAUAGUAACAUUGUUCACAAAAUUGACAUAUCUCUUAUCUGGUUUUAUAAACUAUAACACAUAUAUGUAAAAUUUGUGAACAAUGUUACUAACAUUUUAUCAGAUGAAGAAAUGACCAAAAUAAAAGUUUUAGAUCUUGAUGAUUUAUUUAACUUUGUUGUUGAUAACUUUUUCACUUGAAAUC
rfam:Oryza sativa (indica cultivar-group) chromosome 8, whole genome shotgun sequence.